CGGGGGGAGCAAGCGUUGUUCGGAUUUACCGGGCGUAAAGGGCGCGUAGGCGGUCAGCACAAGUCAGUUGUGAAAUCUCCGGGCUUAACUCGGAAAGGUCAACUGAUACUGUGCGACUAAAGUGCGGAAGGGGCAACUGGAAUUCUCGGUGUAGCGGUGAAAUGCGUAGAUAUCGAGAGGAACACCUGCGGCGAAGGCGGGUUGCUGGGCCGACACUGACGCUGAUGCGCGAAAGCCAGGGGAGCGAACGGGAUUAGAUACCCCGGUAGUCCUGGCCUUAAACGAUGGAUGCUUGGUGUCUGGAGUUUUAUAGUCUCCGGGUGCCGUAGCUAACGCGUUAAGCAUCCCGCCUGGGGAGUACGGUCGCAAGACUG
rnacentral:rRNA from 1 species